rnacentral:lncRNA from 1 species
GUGAGGAUUCUUCGCGGGGGCGUUUUGGACCUGUAAAAAAUAGAAAUAUUCUGAACUUUCGAGUUAGGAAAAUCUGAAACCGUGGUUAGGACCGGGACGACGAGUGGAGUAAUAUUUGUGAAGGGUGUUUUGGCGAUAGGUGAGUGGAAAUUGGGGUUAUGGAAGGUUUUGGAUGGUGAGGUUAGUGAGGUUUAAUGGAAGUUGUAAGAGUGUGAGAGAAGGAGAUGAAGAAUGAUGAGAGAGAGU